rnacentral:tmRNA from 1 species
CCUCUUCCCUUCCGCCGCCGUCCCCCCUAUAUUCGGCGGGUCAGCUUGCCUGACUAUGGCGAUAAACGGCCGAUGCAAUAAACCAUUCGGACCCGGGGGCGGUACCCGGCGCCUCCACCACAAAUCGCUGGACGAGCGGUUUGUGCCGGGGGCGAAACAGGAUCGACGAGGGUGUAAAGAUCGGACUUUUGCCCGGCAUUGUACCACCGUUAUCGGGCUAAUCUUAUAGUUGCCAACGACAACUAUGCGGAAGCGCGUCUCGCCGCUUAAUGCGGUGCGAUAGCUUCAAUUGAAGUCCUGGAGGUUCGCACUUCCAGGCGGGGUUCGGAGGCACCUGGCAACAGAAGCCUCCACU